AUAUGGUUCCGGAGGAGGAGGGAGAAAACAAAUAAUUGUGUCUCCUCACCCCCGACAUGUCUUUAGUAGGGCCGCGGGGGAGAGGAGAUGCUAGAGAUUAGCGGUGACCUCACAAUAGGUACCCCGUACAGGAAAAGUGUCUGAAGUUUAUCUAUUGUUAAGUGAGAUAAUUUAUCAUCGCCAAAGGUUAAGGAGCAAUCCCAGUCCUUUCCUUCUUCGGGAACAGAGAUUUAUAAGAUGGUGCCCAAAUUUAGACAUUGAGGCACUGUUGGCAGAAACGUCCCCAAAGGCUGAUGGCUUCUGUGCGUUUGAAGCCAAGUCAUUCACGGAGCUAAUUUGAGGCUCUCCUUGGAAACUAUAUUUGCUUUCUGAGUGCAUGGUCAACAGUGAACACGGAUCACUUUCUGCCAUCAGGAAAAAAAAAAAGAUGAAACCGUUGAGAAGAAUCUUUUCUAGAAACUGCAUUUUCUGGCCUUCUGGAAGCUGAUCUGUAUUUCUCCGGGCUUCCUUCCACGGCUUUGAACUUGGCAGUGGGUGCAGAGGGUGUUAGGAAGAGACCAGGGUCUGUGUCCCCCUCAUUAGAGGGGCGGGGGUCAGAGGAUGGCACCGCGGACAGAAGAGGAGGCGGGACAGUUUUCUCCUCUGUGAAAUAGACACAGUGUUGCUAUCAACCCCGCUGGUUUGUUGUGAAGUUCUGGUGGGACAAAGAAGCAGACGGCGCUCCCCUCUCUGCCUGGAAUUAGGAAGGACUCCAUCCACAUCGGCCAUCACUGAAAACAUCCAUCUGACAUCCAUUUGAACACAGUCCAGAAACCCUCAAUAUUUUAACAGCAGCUUCCAGGGAUGGCUGCUUAUUCCAACAGUGGAAAUAAUGUUUAUUAACCCAAACCGGGAUUUCAAAAAAAUUAAUACAUCUGAGCCAACAUUGGCUCCAUCUCC
rnacentral:lncRNA from 1 species